rnacentral:rRNA from 1 species
GCUUGCUUCCGCCGACGACCGGCGCACGGGUGCGUAACGCGUAUACAAUCUACCUUAUACUGGGGUAUAGCCUUUAGAAAUGAAGAUUAACCCCCCAUAGUCUCUUAGAGUGGCAUCACUUCUAGAGUAAAGGUUACGGUAUAAGAUGAGUAUGCGUUCUAUUAGUUUGUUGGUGUGGUAACGGCACACCAAGACUACGAUAGAUAGGGGCCCUGAGAGGGGGAUCCCCCACACUGGUACUGAGACACGGACCAGACUCCUACGGGAGGCAGCAGUGAGGAAUAUUGGACAAUGGAGGCAACUCUGAUCCAGCCAUGCCGCGUGCAGGAAGACUGCCCUAUGGGUUGUAAACUGCUUUUAUACAGGAAGAAACACCUCUACGUGUAGAGGCUUGACGGUACUGUAAGAAUAAGGAUCGGCUAACUCCGUGCCAGCAGCCGCGGUAAUACGGAGGAUCCAAGCGUUAUCCGGAAUCAUUGGGUUUAAAGGGUCCGUAGGUGGAUAAUUAAGUC